rnacentral:rRNA from 1 species
GACGAACGCUGGCGGCGUGCUUAACACAUGCAAGUCGAACGGAAAGGCCCUGCUUUUGUUGGUUGCUCGAGUGGCGAACGGGUGAGUAACACGUGAGUAACCUGCCCUUGACUUUGGGAUAACUUCAGGAAACUGGGGCUAAUACCGGAUAGGAUCUCCUGCUGCAUGGUGGGGGUUGGAAAGUUUCGGCGGUUGGGGAUGGACUCGCGGCUUAUCCGCUUGUUGGUGGGGUAGUGGCUUACCAAGGCUUUGACGGGUAGCCGGCCUGAGAGGGUGACCGGCCACAUUGGGACUGAGAUACGGCCCAGACUCCUACGGGAGGCAGCAGGGGGGAAUAUUGCACAAUGGGCGGAAGCCUGAUGCAGCAACGCCGCGUGCGGGAUGACGGCCUUCGGGUGGUAAACCGCUGUCGACUGUGACGAAGAGUGAGUGACGGUAAUGGGUAAAGAAGCACCGGCUAACUACGUG